AUGAGUUCCGACGCUGAGAUGGCCAUUUUUGGCGAGGCUGCUCCUUACCUCCGAAAGUCUGAAAAGGAGCGCAUUGAGGCCCAGAAUAAGCCUUUUGAUGCCAAGACCUCGGUCUUUGUGGUGGACCCUAAGGAGUCCUUUGUGAAAGCAACGGUGCAGAGCAGAGAAGGGGGGAAGGUGACAGCCAAGACCGAAGCUGGAGCGGUGAUAACUGUGAAAGAAGACCAAGUCUUCCCCAUGAACCCUCCCAAGUUUGACAAGAUCGAGGACAUGGCCAUGAUGACCCACCUGCAUGAGCCCGCUGUGCUCUAUAACCUCAAAGAGCGUUAUGCGGCCUGGAUGAUCUAUACAUAUUCAGGUCUCUUCUGUGUCACCGUCAACCCCUACAAGUGGCUGCCGGUGUACAAUGCAGAGGUGGUGACGGCCUACCGAGGCAAAAAGCGCCAGGAGGCCCCGCCCCACAUCUUCUCCAUCUCUGACAAUGCCUAUCAGUUCAUGCUGACUGACCGAGAGAACCAGUCAAUCCUGAUCACCGGAGAAUCCGGGGCAGGAAAGACUGUGAACACGAAACGUGUCAUCCAGUACUUUGCAACAAUUGCAGUCACUGGGGAGAAGAAGAAGGAGGAACCAACUUCAGGCAAAAUGCAGGGGACUCUGGAGGAUCAGAUCAUCAGUGCCAAUCCCCUGCUGGAGGCCUUUGGCAACGCCAAGACCGUGAGGAAUGACAAUUCCUCUCGCUUUGGUAAAUUCAUCAGGAUCCACUUCGGUACCACAGGGAAACUGGCUUCUGCUGAUAUUGAAACAUAUCUUCUGGAGAAGUCUAGAGUCACUUUCCAGCUGAAGGCAGAAAGAAGCUACCAUAUUUUUUAUCAGAUCAUGUCUAACAAGAAGCCAGAGCUAAUUGAAAUGCUCCUCAUCACCACCAACCCAUAUGACUACGCCUUUGUGAGUCAAGGGGAGAUCACAGUCCCUAGCAUCGAUGACCAAGAAGAGCUGAUAGCCACAGAUAGUGCCAUUGAAAUCCUGGGCUUCACUUCUGAUGAAAGGGUGUCCAUCUACAAGCUCACAGGGGCAGUAAUGCAUUAUGGGAACCUGAAAUUCAAGCAAAAGCAGCGUGAGGAGCAAGCAGAACCAGAUGGCACUGAAGUUGCUGACAAGGCUGCCUACCUCCAGGGUCUGAACUCUGCUGAUCUGCUCAAAGCUCUCUGCUACCCCAGAGUCAAGGUCGGCAAUGAGUUUGUCACCAAAGGCCAGACUGUGCAGCAGGUACAUAAUGCAGUGGGUGCUCUGGCCAAAGCCGUCUAUGAGAAGAUGUUCCUGUGGAUGGUCACCCGCAUCAACCAGCAGCUGGACACCAAGCAGCCCAGGCAGUACUUCAUUGGGGUUUUGGACAUCGCUGGUUUUGAGAUCUUUGAUUUCAACAGCCUGGAGCAGCUGUGCAUCAACUUCACCAAUGAGAAACUGCAACAGUUUUUCAACCACCACAUGUUCGUGCUGGAGCAGGAGGAGUACAAGAAGGAAGGCAUCGAGUGGGAGUUCAUCGACUUCGGGAUGGACCUGGCCGCCUGCAUCGAGCUCAUCGAGAAGCCUAUGGGCAUCUUCUCCAUCCUGGAAGAGGAGUGCAUGUUCCCCAAGGCCACAGACACCUCCUUCAAGAACAAGCUUUAUGAACAGCAUCUUGGAAAGUCCAACAACUUCCAGAAGCCCAAACCUGCCAAGGGCAAGGCUGAGGCCCACUUCUCCCUGGUGCACUAUGCGGGCACCGUGGACUACAACAUUGCCGGCUGGCUGGACAAGAACAAGGACCCCCUGAAUGAGACGGUGGUCGGGCUGUACCAGAAGUCCGCAAUGAAGACUCUGGCUUUCCUCUUCGCUGGAGGUCCAAGUGCUGAAGAGGGUGGCGGUGGAAAGAAAGGUGGCAAAAAGAAGGGUUCUUCUUUCCAGACUGUGUCAGCUCUUUUCAGGGAGAAUCUGAAUAAGCUGAUGACCAACCUGAGGAGCACUCACCCCCACUUUGUACGCUGCAUCAUCCCCAAUGAAACUAAAACUCCUGGUAAGGCACUUCUGAUACCCAGACAAGCUCCAGUGUGACUUCUCAGGAUUUUAUUCUGACAGAUAUAAGGUUCUAAAUGCAAGUGCUAUCCCAGAGGGUCAGUUCAUCGACAGCAAGAAGGCUUCUGAGAAACUUUUAGGGUCUAUUGACAUUGAUCACACCCAGUACAAAUUCGGUCACACCAAGGUUUUCUUUAAGGCUGGCCUGCUGGGAAUUCUAGAGGAGAUGCGAGAUGAAAAGCUGGCUCAGCUCAUCACACGCACUCAGGCCAUUUGUAGAGGGUUCCUGAUGAGAGUGGAAUUCAAGAAGAUGAUGGAGAGAAGAGAAUCUAUCUUCUGCAUCCAGUACAAUGUCCGUGCUUUCAUGAAUGUCAAGCACUGGCCCUGGAUGAAGCUGUAUUUCAAGAUCAAGCCCCUCCUCAAGAGUGCAGAGACAGAGAAGGAGAUGGCCAACAUGAAGGAAGAAUUUGAGAAGACCAAAGAAGAGCUGGCUAAGUCGGAGGCAAAAAGGAAAGAACUUGAAGAGAAAAUGGUGACUCUAAUGCAAGAGAAAAACGACUUACAACUCCAAGUUCAAUCUGAAGCAGAUGGCUUGGCUGAUGCAGAGGAAAGGUGUGACCAGCUGAUUAAAACCAAAAUCCAACUUGAGGCAAAAAUCAAAGAGCUAACUGAGAGAGCCGAGGAUGAGGAGGAGAUCAAUGCUGAGCUGACGGCCAAGAAGAGGAAACUGGAGGACGAAUGUUCGGAACUGAAGAAAGACAUAGAUGACCUUGAGCUGACACUGGCCAAGGUUGAGAAGGAGAAACAUGCCACAGAGAACAAGGUGAAAAACCUCACAGAAGAGAUGGCAGGCCUUGAUGAAAACAUUGCAAAACUGACCAAGGAGAAGAAGGCCCUUCAGGAGGCCCACCAGCAGACCCUGGAUGACUUGCAGGCAGAAGAAGACAAAGUCAACACCCUGACCAAAUCUAAAACCAAGCUAGAACAGCAAGUGGAUGACCUUGAAGGAUUUCUGGAACAAGAGAAGAAACUGCGCAUGGACUUAGAGAGAGCCAAGAGGAAACUGGAGGGUGACCUAAAAUUGGCCCAAGAAUCCACAAUGGAUAUAGAAAAUGAUAAGCAGCAACUGGAUGAGAAACUUAAAAAGAAGGAGUUUGAAAUGAGCAAUCUGCAAAGCAAGAUUGAAGAUGAACAGGCCCUCGGGAUGCAGUUGCAGAAGAAGAUCAAGGAGUUACAGGCCCGCAUCGAGGAGCUGGAGGAGGAGAUCGAGGCCGAGCGCGCCUCCCGCGCCAAAGCAGAGAAGCAGCGCUCAGACCUCUCCCGGGAACUGGAGGAGAUCAGCGAGCGGCUGGAAGAAGCCGGCGGGGCCACUUCCGCCCAGAUUGAGAUGAACAAGAAGCGGGAGGCUGAGUUCCAGAAGAUGCGCCGGGACCUGGAGGAGGCCACGCUGCAGCAUGAGGCCACGGCGGCCGCUCUUCGCAAGAAGCACGCGGACAGUGUGGCCGAGCUGGGGGAGCAGAUCGACAACCUGCAGAGGGUCAAGCAGAAGCUGGAGAAGGAGAAGAGCGAGCUGAAGAUGGAGAUCGACGACCUGGCCAGCAACAUGGAGACUGUCUCCAAAGCCAAGGGAAACCUUGAGAAAAUGUGCCGUACACUAGAGGACCAACUGAGUGAAGUGAAAACUAAGGAAGAGGAGCAGCAGCGCCUAAUCAAUGAACUGUCAGCCCAGAAGGCACGUCUACACACAGAGUCAGGUGAAUUUUCACGACAGCUAGAUGAGAAAGAUGCUCUGGUAUCUCAGCUAUCCCGAGGCAAACAAGCAUUUACUCAACAAAUUGAGGAAUUAAAGAGGCAGCUAGAAGAGGAGACUAAGGCCAAGAGUGCCCUGGCCCACGCCCUGCAGUCAGCCCGCCACGACUGUGACCUGCUGCGGGAACAGUACGAGGAGGAGCAGGAGGGCAAGGCCGAGCUGCAGAGGGCGAUGUCCAAGGCCAACAGCGAGGUGGCCCAGUGGAGGACCAAGUACGAGACGGAUGCCAUCCAGCGCACGGAGGAGCUGGAGGAGGCCAAGAAGAAGCUGGCCCAGCGUCUGCAGGAUGCUGAGGAACAUGUAGAAGCGGUGAAUGCCAAAUGUGCCUCCCUUGAGAAGACCAAGCAGCGGCUCCAGAAUGAGGUUGAGGACCUCAUGCUCGACGUGGAGAGGUCCAAUGCUGCCUGCGCGGCUCUCGAUAAGAAGCAGAGGAACUUUGACAAGGUCCUAUCAGAAUGGAAACAGAAGUAUGAGGAAACUCAGGCUGAGCUUGAGGCCUCCCAGAAGGAGUCCCGCUCUCUCAGCACUGAGCUGUUCAAAGUCAAGAAUGCCUAUGAGGAGUCCCUGGACCAACUUGAAACCCUAAAGAGAGAAAACAAGAACUUACAGCAGGAGAUUUCUGACCUGACCGAGCAAAUUGCAGAGGGAGGAAAGCAUAUCCAUGAACUGGAGAAAGUAAAGAAACAAAUAGAACAAGAUAAGGGUGAACUACAGGCUGCUCUAGAGGAAGCAGAGGCAUCUCUCGAGCAUGAAGAAGGCAAAAUCCUUCGCAUCCAACUUGAGUUAAAUCAGGUGAAAUCAGAGAUCGACCGGAAAAUUGCUGAAAAAGAUGAAGAAAUUGAUCAGCUAAAGAGGAACCAUCUCAGAGUUGUGGAGUCCAUGCAGAGCACCCUAGAUGCUGAGAUCAGGAGCAGGAAUGAUGCCCUGAGGAUCAAGAAGAAGAUGGAGGGAGACCUCAAUGAAAUGGAAAUCCAGCUGAACCAUGCCAAUCGCCAGGCUACUGAGGCAAUAAAGAAUCUUAGAAACACACAAGGAGUACUGAAGGACACUCAGCUCCACUUGGAUGAUGCCAUCAGGGGCCAGGAUGACCUUAAGGAGCAGCUGGCCAUGGUUGAACGCAGAGCCAACCUGAUGCAGGCUGAGACUGAAGAGCUGAGGGCAUCACUGGAACAGACAGAGAGGAGCAGGCGAAUGGCAGAGCAAGAGCUUUUGGACGCCAGUGAGCGUGUGCAGCUCCUGCACACACAGAACACUAGCCUGAUCAACACCAAGAAGAAGCUAGAGACAGACAUCACUCAAAUCCAGGGAGAGAUGGAGGACAUUGUCCAGGAAGCUCGCAACGCUGAAGAGAAAGCCAAGAAGGCCAUCACUGAUGCAGCCAUGAUGGCUGAGGAGCUGAAGAAGGAGCAGGACACCAGCGCCCACCUGGAGCGGAUGAAGAAGAACUUGGAGCAGACGGUGAAGGACCUGCAGCACCGCCUGGAUGAGGCUGAGCAGCUGGCCCUGAAGGGCGGGAAGAAGCAGAUCCAGAANAACGAGGAACAAUCCAAUGUCAAUCUUGCCAAAUUCCGCAAACUCCAGCACGAGCUGGAGGAGGCUGAGGAACGGGCUGACAUUGCCGAGUCCCAGGUCAACAAGCUGCGGCUGAAGAGCCGGGAGGUUCACACAAAAGUUAUAAGUGAAGAGUAAUUCAUUCUAAGGCGAAAAGGUGA